rnacentral:rRNA from 1 species
AUUGAACGCUGGCGGCAUGCCUUACACAUGCAAGUCGAACGGUAACAGGUCUUCGGAUGCUGACGAGUGGCGAACGGGUGAGUGAUGCAUCGGAACGUGCCCAGUUGUGGGGGAUAACUGCUCGAAAGAGCAGCUAAUACCGCAUACGACCUGAGGGUGAAAGCGGGGGAUCGCAAGACCUCGCGCAAUUGGAGCGGCCGAUGUCGGAUUAGCUAGUUGGUGGGGUAAAGGCCCACCAAGGCGACGAUCCGUAGCUGGUCUGAGAGGACGACCAGCCACACUGGGACUGAGACACGGCCCAGACUCCUACGGGAGGCAGCAGUGGGGAAUUUUGGACAAUGGACGCAAGUCUGAUCCAGCCAUGCCGCGUGCGGGAAGAAGGCCUUCGGGUUGUAAACCGCUUUUGUCAGGGAAGAAAUCUUCUGGGUUAAUACCUCGGGAGGAUGACGGUACCUGAAGAAUAAGCACCGGCUAACUACGUGCCAGCCGCCGCAGUAAGAC